rnacentral:rRNA from 1 species
AUAAAAAUCAACUUUGUUGGUGAAUCAUAAUAACUUCUCGGACCGCAUGGCCUCGUGCUGGCGGUGCUUCAUUCAAAUGUCUGCCCUAUCAACUGUCGAUGGUAGGAUAGAGGCCUACCAUGGUUGCAACGGGUAACGGGGAAUAAGGGUUCGAUUCCGGAGAGGGAGCCUGAGAAACGGCUACCACAUCCAAGGAAGGCAGCAGGCGCGCAAAUUACCCAAUCCCAACACGGGGAGGUAGUGACAAUAUGUAACAAUAUACGGCCUUAUACGUCGUAUAAUUGGAAUGAGUACAAUUUAAAUCCCUUAACGAGGAACAAUUGGAGGGCAAGUCUGGUGCCAGCAGCCGCGGUAAUUCCAGCUCCAAUAGCGUAUAUUAAAGUUGUUGCAGUUAAAAAGCUCGUAGUUGGACCUUGGACCUGGACAGGCGGUCCGCCUCACGGCGAGUACUGUCUUGCUGGGUCUUUCCUCUUGGUGAUCUGUUGUUUCGGCAG